rnacentral:misc_RNA from 1 species
AAAAAUCUCGUUAAUUACAUAAUUUACAUUAAUUACAGGAGUUUACAAUUUAUAAGGAAAAAUGAAAAUCUAAGUACAAAAUACAAAUUUCAAAAUACAAAAAUAUAAAAUACAAAAUAAAAUCCUAGAGUCCUACCAAGUAUACUGCAGAUGGGAGGUGACACUGAACUCUAUGCAAAAUCUAGACUCUCACCCGGUCUGAGGUCGACUGGGCUCCCUGGUUGUGUCUCCAGUACCUGAUUAUAUGUUAUCAUGGCUUUUUAGCCAUA